CCGGCGGCGUAGGAUAGCUCUGCGGCCUAUCAGGUUGUAGCGAGGGUAACGUCCUCGCUAGCCUACGACGGGUAUGGGUGUUGGGAGACAUCGCCCAGAGAUGGAUUCUGAGACACGAAUCCAGGCCCUACGGGGCGCAGCAGGCGCGAAAACUGCACAAUGUGGGAAACCACGAUGCGGGAAACCCAAGUGCCAGCGCUAUGCGUUGGCUGUCCUCCAGUGUUCGUAACUGGGGAAGAAAGUGCUGGGUAAGACGGGUGCCAGCCGCCGCGGUAAUACCCGCAGCACAAGUGGUGGUCAUUAUUAUUGGGCCUAAAGCGUCCGUAGCUGGCUUGUUAGAUGCCUGGGUAAAUCGAUGCGCUCAACGCAUCGAACUCCGGGUAGACCGGCAAGCUUGGGACCGGGAGAGGCGUGAGCUACUCGAGGGGUAGGGGUAAAAUCCUGUAAUCCUUCGGGGAGGACCAGUGGCGAAGGCGUCACGCUAGAACGGCUCCGACAGUGAGGGACGAAGCCCUGGGGCGCAAACCGGAUUAGAUACCCGGGUAGUCCAGGGUGUAAACGCUGCAGACUUGGUGUCGGUGAUCCUACGAGGGUUGCCGGUGCCGUAGAGAAGUUGUUUAGUCUGCCGCCUGGGGAGUACGGUCGCAAGACUGAAACUUAAAGGAAUU
rnacentral:rRNA from 1 species